rnacentral:rRNA from 2 species
UGCCUACGGGCGGCUGCAGUGGGGAAUAUUGGACAAUGGGCGCAAGCCUGAUCCAGCCAUGCCGCGUGAGUGAUGAAGGCCCUAGGGUUGUAAAGCUCUUUCGACGGGGACGAUAAUGACGGUACCCGUAGAAGAAGCCCCGGCUAACUUCGUGCCAGCAGCCGCGGUAAUACGAAGGGGGCUAGCGUUGUUCGGAAUCACUGGGCGUAAAGCGCACGUAGGCGGAUCGUUAAGUCGGGGGUGAAAUCCCAGGGCUCAACCCUGGAACUGCCGUCGAUACUGGCGAUCUUCGAGUCCGGGAGAGGUGAGUGGAACUCCGAGUGUAGAGGUGAAAUUCGUAGAUAUUCGGAAGAACACCAGUGGCGAAGGCGGCUCACUGGCCCGGUACUGACGCUGAGGUGCGAAAGCGUGGGGAGCAAACAGGAUUAGAUACCCCGGUAGUCAGG